AUGUCCUUGGCCUUGCGUCUGCUCUGAGGAAGACCACCGGGAUGAAGAGACGCCCUUGUUGAGGCUCGUGCUCCACAGAUCCCUACUCCUGGACGCUCUUGCCGGUCGUUCUCUGGUUUACCCCAAUUUGAAUCGACCAAUGAGAGUCAACCAAAGUGAACAAUGGGGGGUCAGCGAAUGACAGCGUGCCGCUCCGCCGUUCCCUGCUGCUUUUAAAGUCCCAUCUCUGCUGUCACCGAGUUGUGCUCACUUCUCAAACCCAUGCUGUGUAUAAGAAGGCAACCUCCCGGAAUACACCGAUACUGUAACCCAGAGCACAUGGAGAAGCCUCAACCGAAAACCCAGUCCAGCAGAUCUUUAACAUCUCGCCACCCUGCCGCUGAGGUUACGCAACGCUGCAUUCCAGACAGCGCGGAGGGAAUGACUGUCCAGCUGAAAUUAUUACCUUCCCAUCCGAGCUUCUCUGAAAGACCUUUGGUCACCAUCGCCACCUCCACCGUCAUCACACUGUCUCCCCUGCAAGCCAAUGCCUGAUCUGCUGAACUGAAAAUGGGAGUUUGAGGUGAAUUUUGUGGUUUUCAUUGUUUAAUACCGUAUAUCCCUCCACUCAGUGUACAGUCCUGUAUGGAUUUUUUUUGACACGUGUCGUGCCCUGAUCUCAAUGCGCUGAGUUUAUUUCCAGAACGUACACACACGUCACAUUCUACCCUCUUAUUGAGUUUCAUAAACUGUAAUCCCCCUCUCGCCACCUUAAUUGAUGUCCCAGGGGUCUUUCCAGUAAGCGUCCCAUCGGACUGGUGAGGGACGUGUAUCACCCAAUAGUGGAGUUACAUCACAGUCUGCACCUGUAUGAGUGUGUAACUUGAGUCCAAAACUGGGACUUCUCAGCUUCUUUCUGGAAUGUGAAAAAUAUGAUUGAUUGUUUGAUUUAAUUAAUUUAAUUUGAUUUAAUAAAAUUAUAUCCAACAUGGA